AAAUAGAUAUCUAGAAAUAGAAACAAACUAAUAUAUAGAUAAUCGAAAUUGAAAAGAACUGUCUUUUCUAUAUACUUUCCCCGUUCUAUUGCUACUGCGGGUCUUAUGCAAUCGAUCGGAUCAAAUAGAUAUCCCUUCAAGACAACAUAGGUCAUCGAAAGGAUCUCAGAUGACUACCAAAGCAUGAAAGCCAGUUAGAAAAUGGAUUCCUAUUUGAAGAGUGCCUAACCGCAUGGAUAAGCUCACAUUAACCUGUCAAUUUUGGAUCCAAUUCGGGAUUUUUCUUGGGAAGUUUCAGGAAGAAAUUGGAAUAAUAUCGAUUCAUAAAGAGGAAAA
rnacentral:lncRNA from 1 species